rnacentral:rRNA from 1 species
AGUAAAUAGAUACCCAGGUAGUCCACGCCGUAAACGAUGUCGACUUGGAGGUUGUGCCCUUGAGGCGUGGCUUCCGGAGCUAAACGCGUUAAGUCGACCGCCUGGGGAGUACGGCCGCAAGGUUAAAACUCAAAUGAAUUGACGGGGGCCCGCACAAGCGGUGGAGCAUGUGGUUUAAUUCGAUGCAACGCGAAGAACCUUACCUACUCUUGACAUCCAGAGAACUUAGCAGAGAUGCUUUGGUGCCUUCGGGUAACUCUGAGACAGGUGCUGCAUGGCUGUCGUCAGCUCGUGUUGUGAAAUGUUGGGUUAAGUCCCGCAACGAGCGCAACCCUUAUCCUUUGUUGCCAGCGGUUAGGCCGGGAACUCAAAGGAGACUGCCAGUGAUAAACCUGGAGGAAGGUGGGGUAUGACGUCAAGUCAUCAUGGCCCUUACGAGUAGGGCUACACACGUGCUACAAUGGCGCAUACAAACGAGAAGCGACCUCGCGAGAGCAAGCGGACCUCAUAAA